rnacentral:rRNA from 1 species
AUACCGGGCCUUUUUGGGCUUGGUAAUUGGAAUGAGGGAGAGUUAAACGGACCAUCGAGUAUCCAUUGGAGGGCAAGUCUGGUGCCAGCAGCUGCGGUAAUACCAGCUCCAAUAGCGUAUAUUAAUGUUGUUGCAGUUAAAAAGCUCGUAGUUGGACUUGUGUGCGCUGUCCGCGGGUGGCCUGCGCCCAAAAGGGCGUUUCGGUUCGGCCCCGGUGGCGCCUUGAAAUCUGCAGCUGGGGGGACGUAGGCCUUAACUGGUCGGCGACCGCACGCCGGCUGCUCGGUUACUGUGAGAAAAUUAGAGUGUUCAAGGCAGGCAUUGGGUGCAAUUGAAUACAUUAGCAUGGAAUAAUAAAAUAUGGCUCCUGCCGUAUUUUGUUGGUUUUGACUGGUGGGAGUAAUGAUUGAUAGGGACGGUUGGGGGUGCUAGUAUUGAGCGGCCAGAGGUGAAAUUCAUGGAUUCGCUCAAGACUAACUUAUGCGAAAGCAUUCACCAAGGACGUCCUCUUUAAUCAAGAACGAAAGUUGGGGGAUCGAAGACGAUCAGAUACCGUCGUAGUCUCAACCAUAAACUAUGUCGACUUGGGAUCGGCGGUAGUUUUUUCAUUAAGACACUGUCGGGACCACGGGAGAAAUCAAAGUGUCUGGACUCUGGGGGAAGUAUGGUCGCAAGGCUGAAACUUGAAGGAAUUGACGGAAGGGCACCACCAGGAGUGGAGCCUGCGGCUUAAUUUGACCCAACACGGGGAAACUUACCAGGUCCAGAGAUGUAGAGGAUUGACAGAUUGAAGCUCUUUCUUGAUCACUUCGGUGGUGGUGCAUGGCCGUUCUUAGUUGGUGGAGUGAUUUGUCUGGUUAAUUCCGUUAACGAACGAGACCUCAGCCUGCUAGUGUAGUCGGCUGGAUUGCCUUUGGCGAUCCGUGAUUUCGACUUCUUAGAGGGACAAUCGACGCGCAGUCGAUGGAAGUUUGAGGCAAUAACAGGUCUGUGAUGCCCUUAGAUGUUCUGGGCCGCACGCGCGCUACACUGCUGGGCUCAGCGAGUUUUACUUGGCCGAGAGGCCCGGUUAAUCUUGUGAAAUCCCAGCGUGCUUGGGCUCGCCUCCUGCAACUGGAGGCGCCAACGAGGAAUUCCUAGUAGACGCAGGUCAUCAACCUGCAUCGAUUACGUCCCUGCCCUUUGUACACACCGCCCGUCGUUCCAUAAGAGUGAGGCAUCCGGUGAAUUCUCGGGAGAGCCUGGGCGUGGCCAGCAAUGGUCUGCUCGGGUUUGAACUUGCAUAAACUUGGUGCCUAUGAUUAGGG